CAAGUGAUUAUUAGCGUAAUGAAAUUUUCGCUGUAAUCAAAGAGUGACCCUCCAUCACAUUCGAGAUUGUUGGUCGUCCAAAAACCCCUUUAGAGUAAAGAAAAUCCUUCAUUGAAUUUAUUCAUUAUUUAAUCGAAAAAUUUCCAAUUUUUGUCAUGGUUAAAUCUAGAGAUGAACGUCGAUUUCCAAGACUUUAAAUAUUUCAAGGCAGUCAGCCUUCAAAAGGACAAGGUAUGCAACCCCUCGACCGGAGAGUAGGAAUAGUUAUCGUUUCCACGGUAAGGGGCUCUUUCCUAUUGUUUCUUAUGAAAUCAAUCGGUAUGGAUGGAGACUAAGUGCUGAAUUAUUUCUGUUACAGGAGACGUGUCACAAUUGGAGGCGAGAGCUGAGUUGGCCAAAGAAAUCGGUUGGAUGGAGAAUAGUUCGUCGGAGGAGAAUAAAAUGGAGCGGCAAAGGGUGCCUCUAUUCGAGUACAACACCAGGAUCAAUUACAUUUCGCAAGAGGAUGAGGACAUCGAGGACUUGGAGGCCAAGGAAUUAGAGGCAAAAGCUGAUCUCAUCGAAAGGAAAAACAACAAAACCAAAUUCACGCCCAUCUCUCCUGACAUGGACUCAGACAACAUCAAAGAGGAUGACAUCACAGAUGCAGAUGAAAAUGAGAUGGAGUCUCUAUCGGUGGUCUGGUACCUGGGAGCUUUCGGCGGCCUCGUGACCUUCUUCCUAAUCAUAGUGUGCUCGGAGUUCUGUUUUGGAAAUGCCAUGUACCGUCGGCACAACCCCAAUGAAUACAUUAAUCGAGUCAAUGUUUACGCUGAUGCCUACUUCCCUCAGACUCCCCCACCCCCAUACCAUCUCUUCGCUCCCCCAACCUACACUGACACACUCCAAAGGAAGUUCAACAACGGGAAAUUAACCAUUGAAAAGAAUGACACAUUUAAAAAGGAGUCUCUUGAAAACAGCCAAAUUUACAUUGUUCCAGUUCACCAGAGUAAAAUGCCGUACCCGCCACCAAGCUAUACGGCUUAAAAGAUGCAUUUUUAUUGAAGUUGGCAGUCACUGACUGAUUUUUUGUGAAUUUAAAAGGUAAAGGUAAUGGAAACCUUUCCUACAGCACAGCUGCGCUGUGAAGUUAUUGAACGAAGGUGUUUCGAUCCCACCUUGGGGUACGUUGCAACUCCUAAAUCUUGUGAGAAAGCAGUUGAGAAUUUUACUAUUUUAAGAGUUGAGAAUGAAGAGUUUUAGCUUUGGUUGGUGAAAUUCUUGUAAAACAGAAGAAGUAAACCAUGCCACUUUCCAUUGUAUUUACAAAAUUUGCUGUGUUUUAAAAUGGUGUGAUUUUACGCACAGUUCAUGUUUACUCUGGGAAAAUCCUUAAGUGACCAAAGAUGGCAUGUUAACACUAUGGAUAAAAUAUUUGGAUGUGACAUUGUAUGAUAGUUUAAGAAAUAGAAUUUUUGGCGACAAGAGUGAUUUUACAUACAUGUAUGAAGAACUCAUGUUUCAUGAAAUCUCAAUGUUUUGGAGGCAGUAAAAUGCAUAUCAGAUUUUACCAUUUUCUCCCGAUGUAAAUGUUUCCUGCAUUUCUUAGAUGCAAAAUAUUUUGCAAUUUUGUGUCAGUAUUAUUGAUUUUUAAUCAAAAUUGAACUCGAACAUUUUAUGCCAUAAAAAUUUACACGAGAGCAAAUUUUUGGCAAACCCGGUUCGGUCCUUAUGUUAAAAUUUUAUUUUAUCACUGUCUGCCCAUCUUUUAGAUGCCUGUCUGAUUUUCUACCUGCUUUGAAAAUUGAUAAUUGAAAACUCAGAGUGUGGUUGCCCUGUUAAUUUAAUACAACUGAAAAGUACUUUUGCAGAUCAUUCAAAAAAAGAAGUGAUCGAAUUACGUUACCAUUGUUAUACCAAACUAAUUUUUAUCAAUGCUACUGACUAGGUACACAGAAAUUGCUUUCAGUUUCCUUUCUUCUCCUGAAAAUAUGAUUUAUUUUCAAGAUCUGGAAGGAUUAGAUACUAUCGAUAUCUUUAAUAUUCUAAGCAUGUACCUGGUGCCAUAAGUGCCAUGAUGUUCAUUGUAAAAAUAACUUAACUAUUUAUUUGUGUAAUUUACUCUAAUUUCUCACAUUCUAAGUCAAUUAAAGAAUAAGAACUGAUAAUUUCUUUGAUUGAGUGGGUUUAUAAAAUAUUGAAGCUCAUGCCUUAGAUCUGAUAGAUAAGUAGGUAGCAAAACCAAUAUGUAAAUUUACUGUAAAUAUUUGAAGAGUUCAAUUAAUUGUUAUUCCAUCUUUAAGAGUUUAAUUGCAAGCUAAGCAAGAACAUGUAUAAUUUAGUUUAAUUAUCUUAUAGAAUCAAAAUUUAGGGCUGCAAGUUCUUGCUUGCUGACUGGUAUCUCAUUAUGCUUUUCUAAAAAAAUUUCAAGAGGGCCUUAAAAUUAAUGGAUUCACCUCAAUGUUUUUAAAUUCUUUUUUCUACUUUGAAACAUUAGUUUUGUUCCAUUAUAUUAUGUAUUUUGAAGUAAAUAGAACGAUGUUCCCGUUAUCCUUAAUUUAAGUACCGAAUUCAAAACAGAACUGAAAUUAAAGUGUACUUAAUUUC
rnacentral:lncRNA from 1 species